UACAGAGGGUGCUAGCGUUGUUCGGAAUCAUUGGGCGUAAAGGGCGUGUAGGCGGUCCGCUAAGUCUGAUGUGAAAGCCCGAGGCUUACCCUCGGAAGUGCAUUGGAGACUGGCGGACUGGAGUCCCGGAGAGGAGGGUGGAAUUCCUGGUGUAGCGGUGAAAUGCGUAGAUAUCAGGAGGAACACCGGUGGCGAAGGCGGCCCUCUGGACGGUGACUGACGCUGAGACGCGAAAGCGUGGGGAGCAAACAGG
rnacentral:rRNA from 1 species